UUCAUCGUUGGUCCGGUCACUCUAGUAACAAUUCCAUUUUAGGUUUCAAACUGUUCGGGAAGUAGAAACUCCAACUCGCGCGUGGUUUAUCAUCCAAUCGGCCAUGCCAGCUUCUUGAUUCAAUUUCCCUAAAUUUUCAGUGAUGGGUCGAAAGAAGCAAGUCCGGCCUCAUCGAUCAGUAGGGAUAGUAGAAAGAAGUGAUGCUGUAGGAGGUGAAUUGAAUGACCAAGAUGGUUCUGGAAGCCAGUCUGUACAAAAGGAUGAGUCUGUUAAUGUUGAUGAACCAUUUUUUGUUGAGGUUGAUCGAACAAAUUGGGUUUCAGAUGAGCAUUUUGAUAUUUCGGAAGUUCUUUUGAUGAAUUUGAAUUUAAGCACUGAGUUUUUGGAUUACAGACUGGAUGAGGAUUUUUAUGGGGAUUCGAAGUACUAUUUAAGAUUUAGACUGUGCAACAUAAAUGAGUUUCUCGGUCGUAUCAAGCUAGGACAUUGGCCUUUGUUAUCUGCCAGCAGUAUAUAUUUGGAGUUUAUAAAGAAGCACAUAUUGGAGGAUACGGAGACACAGGCUGUGAUGGUGUCAGGGAGUUUUGAUGGCCCGGACGAGGGUGUUUCUGGUCUUGUUCACUUGAUUAGUAUGAAGUAUUUGACAUUGAGACCGAUUACGGGGGUCACAUUUUCGGAGAGCAUGUCAUCUAUAAGGGUGAGAGUGGAGAUACUAAAGACCGCCUUUGAUGCCUGUGAGUCACUUCUUGAUAAUACAAGGCAAGUUUGGAAAAAGAGUAUGAUGAGUGUCAUGGCUUGGCUGCGUCCAGAAGUUAUGACUUCAGAGGCUAGAUAUGGUUUUAAUAUAUCAGCUGACGUGAAACUCAAUUUACCUAUGGAAACAGAUAUCGACUCCUCUAGCUCAAGGAAACGUAUCAGGUUUGAUGCUGCUGGGUUUUAUGAAGCCAUCAAACCAUCAAAAGGGGAUCCCAUGCUGGAGGAUAACAUACCUGGCUUGAUUCCUGAGCUUAGACCAUAUCAACGUCGUGCAGUUUACUGGAUGGUACAACGAGAGAAAGGAGCUUCUAGAUGCAUGGACGAAAGUGAAAGAACUCAGUUUCUUUCUCCUCUAUGUAUGCCUGUGAAUUCAAUUGAUACAUGUUUGAGAAUGUUUUACAAUCCAUUCAGUGGAAAUGUUUCAUUGCAUUCGGAGUACUCAUCAUCAUAUGUCUUUGGUGGUAUUCUUGCUGAUGAGAUGGGUUUGGGCAAAACAGUUGAGCUGCUUGCUUGUAUCUUUGCUCAUCGGAAGUCAACAUCUGAUGGUGGCAUUAUUUAUGACAACACAGUUCAAGUUACUGGGUAUCAGAAAAACCUCAAGAGAUUGAAAAAAGAGCGUGUGGAGUGUAUAUGUGGGGCUGUGAACGAAAGCUUUAGAUAUAAAGGAUUAUGGGUGCAAUGUGAUAUAUGUGAUGCUUGGCAACAUGCAGAUUGUGUCAGUUAUUCAACCAGGGGGAGAACUGCAGAAUCCAGAGAAGUCUCCAAAGAACAAGGAUAUGAAAAGAAGCCAACAGGAAGCUCAAGAAAGCACACAAAAAGGAAAAAUAAUACUAAAAUAGUGGUGAUGGAUGGGGAUUACAUCUGUCCGCUGUGCUCUGAACUUAUUCAAGCAACUGACUCUCCAGUUGCUACAAGUGCAACUCUCAUAGUAUGUCCGGCUCCUAUAUUGCCCCAGUGGCAUGAGGAAAUUAUUCGUCAUACAAGUCCAGGUUCCCUGAAAACUUGUGUUUAUGAAGGUGUCCGGAACACAUCACUUUCAAAUACAUCAGUGAUGGAUGUUAGUGAACUUCUCAGUGCUGAUAUUGUCUUAACAUCAUAUGAUGUCCUUAAAGAGGACUUAUCACAUGAUUCCGAUAGGCAUGAAGGGGAUCGCCGCUUUAUGAGGUUUCAGAAGAGAUAUCCCGUUAUUCCAACUCUGCUGACCAGAGUAUUCUGGUGGAGGAUUUGUUUGGACGAGGCUCAAAUGGUGGAGAGUAAUGCAGCAGCGGCAACAGAAAUGGCCCUGCGGCUACAUGCUAAGCAUCGUUGGUGUAUCACAGGGACUCCCAUACAACGCAAGCUUGAUGACUUAUAUGGGCUCUUGAGUUUCCUUAAAGCAAGUCCUUUUGAUGUCCUUAGGUGGUGGAUUGAAGUUAUACGAGAUCCAUAUGAGAGGGAAGAUGCAGGAGCUAUGGGAUUCACACAUAACUUCUUUAAACAAAUAAUGUGGCGUUCCUCUAAAGAACACGUAGCAGAAGAGUUACAGCUUCCUCCUCAGGAGGAGAGCCUCUCUUUCCUUUCUUUCUCAGCAAUUGAAGAGCAUUUUUAUCAGAGGCAGCAUGAAACUUGUGUGAACUACGCUAGUGAAGUUAUUCAGAGUCUCAAAAAUGAUAUUCUCAAACGAGAAGUUGCAGGUUCCAUCUCAUCUGUUGUUCCAUCCGAUCCUUUUAUUACCCAUGUGGAGGCUGCAAAGCUGUUGAACUCGCUCUUGAAGCUUCGCCAAGCCUGCUGCCAUCCUCAAGUGGGAAGUUCUGGGUUGCGUUCUUUGCAACAGUCUCCCAUGACCAUGGAGGAGAUAUUAUCGGUUCUUGUUGGUAAGACCAAGGUAGAAGGGGAGGAGUCACUCAGGAAAGCAGUUGUUGCAUUGAAUGGGCUUGCAGCAAUAGCUAUAAUUAAGCAAGAUUUUUCUCAAGCAGUAUCUUUGUACAAAGAAGCACUAGCUUUAGCUGAAGAGCACUCUGAAGAUUUCCGCUUGGACCCUUUGUUGAACGUUCACAUUCAUUAUAAUCUUGCUGAGAUACUCCCUAUGGCUUCAGACUAUUCACUAUGUUCCCAUUCAAAUGGGCAGUUACCUGAAAGCUCUGAAGUUAAGUCCUCCAGGAUGUGUGGUAUUCAUUACACGGUGAAGAGAAAGAAAGUGACUAGGGAAGGCUCAUCAAAUAUGACUAUUGAUGCUGAGAAUUUACCUGAGUUUACUUCUUACCCACCAUCAAAUGGGUUAAAUGGUGACAAAAAUUGUGAUGACGAGCCUCGCAUAUUAUCUAAAUUUUCUAGUGGUGGACAUUUAAGUAUGGCAUGUGAGAAUCUAAAGCAGAAGUUUUUAUCUGUGUUUAAUUCAAAGCUGUCCUUGGCUGGACAAGAGUUCAGAAAGUCACAUGAGCAGGUUUCUAAUGCACUUACGGAGAGAAAAAAUCAGCAUACAGCUUGGUGGUUCGAAACCCUUCAUGAUAUUGAGCAAAAUAAGGACUCCUCAAGUGAGCUGAUCAGAAAGAUUGAAGAAGCUGUGUCCGGGACUCUAAAUAUUUCUAGAACAUCAAGAAUCGCAUCAUGCUUUCGGAGCAUAACUACUCUAAAGUACUAUAUCCAGACUGGUUUGGAUUUAUUGGAAGACUCUAGGAAGAAAUUAGUUGAUAGACUUUUGGAAAUUGACCAGACUAUGGGAAAUCCUAGAUUAGAGGAUAUUGAACGUGUCAGAUACUGUCCAAACUGCCAGCCUAAUGGAGAUGGUCCAAUCUGUGUUCACUGUGAACUCGACGAACUAUUUCAGGUUUAUGAGGCCAGGCUCUUCCGUCUUAACAAAGGACAUGAUGGAGGGGUGAUUAUAUCUGCUGAGGAAGCAGUAGAUCUGCAGAAAAAGAAGUCUGCUUUGAAUCGUUUCUAUUGGACUUUAUCGAAGCCUGAUAAAAAUUCAACUUCAUCCAGUGUAAGAUAUGAAGACAAUGGAAGAAAGAGGGAUGUCGGCGAGAAAGUAGUGGUAUCAAAAUCUCCCUCAGAACUAGAAGUCGUUCUUGGAAUUAUAAGGAGCUACUGCAAGGCUUUUUUAGGUAGAGAUGGCUCGUUAGCAGCCACAAAACAGCUUCUUCUUCUUGAGGGAAUGCGGAAGGAGUAUGCACAAGCGAGGUCAUUAGCGAUUGCUCAAGCUCAAGUUUUACGUGCUCAUGAUGAAAUAAAGAUGGCAACUUCACGAUUGAGACUAAGAGAGAAUGAGGAUGAUAACUCUAUUGAUGCCUUGAGUCCUGGAGAACUAGAUGCAGCAGAUGCUGAAAAUUCUAGUGAUAAAUUCCUGGCCUUAAACUCAUUAUCACGUAUAAAAGGACAACUUCGAUAUUUGAAGGGUUUGGUACAAUCUAAACAAAAACCACCACUGGAGAGCCCAAAUAAGUCAUCCUUAACCCAAGUGACAGAUGUCUCUCUGACUUCUGAAGGUGGAGAAAACCAUUACCUGGUUAAAGCUGAUGAGGAAGCAUGCCCAGUUUGUCAAGAAAAGCUCAGCAACCAAAAAAUGGUUUUUCAAUGUGGCCAUGUUACUUGCUGUAGAUGUUUUUUUGCAAUUACGGAACAAAGACUAGCUCAUCAUGGCAAGUAUCAUCAUAAAUGGGUGAUGUGCCCAACAUGUCGACAACAUACUGAUUUUGGGAAUAUUGCUUAUGCCGAUGACAGACAAAAUACAUUAUGCAGUUCUUUUCAAGGUUGUGAAAGCUCUGAAGCUUCUGUAACUGUUCAAGGUUCAUAUGGAACAAAGAUUGAAGCAGUCACAAGGAGAAUCCUCCAGAUCAAAUCUACAGAUCCAAAAGCAAAAAUUCUUGUUUUCUCCAGUUGGAAUGACGUCCUUGAUGUGUUGGAACAUGCAUUCACAGCGAAUGCAAUAAGUUUUAUCCGGAUGAAAGGAGGCAGGAAAUCACAAGUUGCUAUCAGCCACUUUAAAGGACAGGAAAGCGGUGCAAAAAGAAGUGGCAAGAUUCGUGACCGGCGGCCAGAAACCAAAUUUGUUCAAGUGCUGCUGUUAUUAAUUCAACAUGGAGCCAAUGGCCUCAAUCUUUUGGAAGCACAGCAUGUUAUUCUUGUAGAGCCAUUACUCAACCCUGCAGCUGAAGCACAAGCAAUUGGCCGGGUGCACCGAAUUGGACAGGAGAAUAAGACACUGGUUCAUCGUUUCAUAGUGAAAGGAACAGUUGAAGAAAGCAUAUAUAAACUAAAUAAAAGCAGGAAUACAAAUACAAGUUCUUUCAUCAGUGGAAACACAAAGAAUCAAGAUCAGCCUGUUUUGACACUUAAAGAUUUGGAGUCCCUAUUUUCAGCAACGCGCUCCACCAUAACAGAUAGUGAAGAAAAGCCAACCGGAAGCUUAAUGCAUUUGCCACCUUCUGAAGCUGCUGUCCUGGCUGCUGAAAGAAGACUAACGGAGCACAAGUCGUGAUAUAAUGCAUUCAUUUUUGCCCCCUUUUCUUCACUGCCGGUAGAGCUGUGGAGACAACAAUGAACAGAGCAUAGAGCAUGAAGUUAUACAUGUCUAUUCGAAGAUGAGCUCCUUCUGUAACAUGGUAACGAGAGAUUCAGAAUGGAAGCAUCAAUUCUAAUGACCAGCUCGAACACGUGCAUGAUACGAGAUGAGAGCGGUCCCACAUCAUCCGUAGGUCACCCGGUGAAUAAAUUUUUUCUUGUACAUAUGUGUAUCACUAAAUUUGUUUAUAUCUAACGGUGAGACCACCAUUUUUUUGAGUUGUUCUGAUUGAUUCUGUGCAUUAGUAGAAUUUAAAUUACAAUUCACAGAUUUUAAUUCCUUUCAUGUGUAGGAGUCAACUUACUUUCUGCUUUGAAAAGUAUAUUCUUUAAAUGAAUAAAUAGUACUUCCAAACAUAGGAGGAACUCGAAGCUCCACUUACAGUGUACUAAGGUGUUAUUUGAUUAAAUUGAAAAUUACAGUAUUUUUUUUUAUUUUCAACAAUGAAUAAUAUUUAGUCACUUAAAUUUUGAGUUUGUAUUUUUUUUUUUAGUUUGUUGAAUUGAGUUAUCAAGAAGUUUGGUGAUUUAGUGUUUCGUGAAAUAUUAUUUCAGGUUUAAA